UGAUUUUGUGUUUGUUCUUGUUACAGUCU
rnacentral:piRNA from 1 species